UGUUGAGUAUCAAGAACAUCCAGAGCCCUUGCACAGAUAGUUAUCAACAACUCAAUUUGCAAAUUCUGGGCGCUCUUCCGCGACAGGAGGCUGACAAGAGAGGCUUCACUCGGGUGCACGUCAGUGACACGUGGUCCCACGUGUGUCAGACGUGGGGUCCGACAGCUUGAGAGUCACAGCAGUUGUAGAUGGCAGAACACCUUUAUCUUAGUUAUUUUAUGCGGAGCUGAGGAUGGAACCUGAUGCCUCGCACGCACUAGGCAAGAGCUCCACCACUGACCCCAGCCCCAGUCCCCAGAACCGAGAUCUGAGUAGGAGAUGGAGUUUCUUCGAUGGUGCUCUGAGAUGAGGAUUAUUUCCACGGAGGCACAGAGAGGAAAAACAAGUCACCUAACUCACCCAGCAUCGCCUGGCACUCGCAACUGUCUGACCUGGAUAAUGGCUCAGACUGGGGAGAGUAGGCGGCAGCCAGGGCAGGGAUGAAUCCUGCCACAUGACUGGUCCAGGAAAGGAUGCUGUCACUAGGCCUGAGUGGACACUGCAGCCCUGAGGUCUCUGCUCUGAUUUCACUAGGAAUGUGCUUCCACUGACAGACCCCUGUCUACACAGGGCCCCGCUCCUGUGAGCUCCUGAUUUCUAAUAAGAUCUGGGUGUGUGUGGGCACGGGUCCUCUGCCCAGUCCUGGCACUGCUCCUGAAACCCUUGCAGUCUCCAGAGAGGUCAGUGUCUGUUGUACGAUAAUGAGCUGACAGGUGGCUGGGGCCUCUGGAUAGCAUCAGGGUGUGUCUGGCCCCCAGAAAGACCCAGGCAGGCUCAGAGGUGGAAACUCGGCCCUGCCCUACUGUGACCUCUGGGGAGGGCACCCGGGCUGUAGACUGAAUGGCCCAGCAGUGACAAUGCGUUCGUCCAUCAUGCGCCUCAGGAAGCUCUGUAAAGCUCAGACGGUGGGUUUGGGGGACUUCAGGGCAGUGGAGGGCGAGGAGAUUCCUGAGGGUGGCGUCUGAGAGGGCAGGGCUACUCCGCCCUCCCCACCUCCCCCCUGUCUCCUCCAUUGGCUGUUCUGUGCCCUUCCUAAAGGCCUCUAAUAGGCAGAUGCAAGCAUGUCCCCAGGUUCUGCUGACCAAGGAGGGGGUCAUGGGAACCCCCAGUUUAUAGCCAGUCGGUGAGAAGCACAGGUCACAACGUGGGGCUUCCAAAUGGCAUCUGAAGUGGGGGCCAGUCUUUUGGGACUGAGCCCUCGACCUGUAAGGAUGGACCGUGUCCAGGUAAGUGGUGGCUAACGUACAGGAUGCCCAGUCGGGGUCUGCUGGAGGACCCCCCUGGGUGCUGUGUGACGGGAACCUGCCGAGUAUCUGGUGGCAGAAGUGUUACGUGGAAUAACUGCGAGUGCUGGAAAAGUCUCUUUCCUAUCUCAAGUAGGUGCUCAAUUAAAGAGGAGCUCGCAUAUCCAUCUGCUGGCCCGGGUCGCACACCUUACAGGACAGCUGGACUCUGCAGAGGGUGGGUGGGCGCUGCCCCCAGGGCUCCUGGGGAAGGCAGUGCCCGGCUGGCUGCUCUCCGACUUUUUCAUCUCGGGAUCCUUUUGUGUUUUGUUGUUGUUGAUGUUUGCUUUUUUUUGUUCUUUGGUUCUGGGAACUAGCUCUUUGAAAAGUUGUCACUUCUGAGGACAUUCUAGGUGGGUUGUAUCUAUGGAUAUUUGUCACGUUGGAGAUAAAAAAAAAUACUUGUCCGUUUAAAAUAACGAUGAUCCACCACAUAUUUAAUAGAUCCCCUGGUCCGGGACACCCGUGGCCAUGUUUGCUCUCCUUUCACUGCUUGGCUUACCCGGCAGCUGGACUCGCCCCUGCUCCUGCGUGGCUCUGGGCAGCAGCAUUAGGAAAAUAGCCAGAAGGUUCCAGGGACCCAGGGGUUCUCUGACCUCCCUUGAGAACAGGGGUGCUAAGGCAGGGCGAGUCAGUGGUCAGACAAGCCAGUACCCAGAGCGUGUCCUCGGUCCCCUGAGCCAGAGCUCCUGACCCUUCAGCGCAUCAACUGAAUGAAGAAUAGAAGUCGUCACAGCAGCUCAGACGUCACCUCAGCCUCAGGUUCCCUUCUCACCUUCUGUAGGGGUCACCUGCCACCUCCAUCCAGGGGGUCCCGCCAGAUCAGGGCAAGAGGCUCCCAUGUUCUUGGGUCGGGUGAUGGAGGGACAUUCUCCACAGUGUCACCGAGGUCCUCAGAGGGCCACAAGGUCCUCGAUUCCCCACUCUUUUUACCUGCCCCACUGCCGGUGCGCCACAGGGACCAUCUCCCCUCUAACCUGUGACCUUUGAACCUCCACCUCAGGGUCUGCUCGUGGGGAAGCUGCAGGUGCCGUAGCUUCUUUCUUAUUAUUCAGUUUUAAUGUGUUCCCACAUUUUUAUUGGGGCGUUCUAGCUGUCCACGGUGAUGGGAUUCAUUGUUCCGUCUUCGUACGCCACACGGUACUCUCUGCAGCUUCCUGAGCCUCUGACACGUCUGAUCUCCGUUUAGCAGGGAACGUUGGCCUGGGUAUUUGUUGAAUGACUGUGUCCCUGCGGGGCUGUAAGUGUCAUGCGAGGGCACCGAGGCUCACUUGUCCUUUAACAAAUUAUUCGUACCGAGCACAGUCCUCGGCACGUGGGAUUCUUGGAAAGACGUGUGUUGACUGACUGAACGAUGGAAUGAAUGAGGUCCAGAAACCCUACCGUGGCUGUCAGCAGAGACCCUGGGAAGCAGUUAUUGACGGAAUAAAUGAAUGAUCCGAUGGGUGGACGUCACACUGUGCGGACCUGUGUUCUGGGACGCGGGUGUCAACUGUCAUUUAGAGCAUUAUGCACCGUUCUUUGUGGAGGGACUGUGUCCUGCCACCUGUAUAUCGCAGCCUUCCUGCUGAGAACCAGCUCCCUGCCCUGACCAGGUGGACAGACACCUCCUCACCCCCCGGGUGCCCCACGGUCCACCCGAGUGUCGUGAUCUCCUCCUUCUAGGAGGGCGUGCGUCUUCCUGGGUCAGGGCCCAGCACGGGACGUCACUUGAACAUCGUCACCUCUUUGAAGACCUUGUCUCCAAGCACAGUCACAGCCGAAGGCAGAGAGGCACUUGCCCUCACUGGAACAGGCCCCUGGUCUCCUGAUGUCCCGGGAAUUGGAGCCCUGCCCCCCGGGUUCCAGAAGGGCGUACGGAGAGCAGCAUUUGGACCCAGCGGCCACGCUCCGUAUCCACCAAGACCUCACCUCCCAGGGCCCCGGCUCCUCACCUGUAAAUGGCCUAACCACCGUACGUGCCCCCGAGUUGGUUAUAAGAACUGAAUUCACAGGAAUAAAGUGUGAAGAACUUUAA